GAAAUCAUUCUAAACUUAAAGGAGACAUGGUGAUGGCUCAUGGCAGCUUCUGUCUCUUCCUGAUCUUCUUCUCUUCCUUUUUAUCUUCUAAUAAUAUUCUUCAUGCAUACGCAUCCAACCAAUUUCAACGCAACUCACUUGGUCUGCAGUCAUCUCCUCAUUCCUCAAACCGGAUUUCUAUUCAUUGUCGCCCUCGUCGGCAGGGCAUUACUAAGUGUAAUCGCAACGAUAUGGCCGCCGCCCUAACUCAACAUAGCAGUGAAGGCACCCCCAUUGGAGGGAUCAUUGGAGGAAAUCCAGUACCAAGCUCUCCAUAGUACCGCCAAACCAUCUCACUAUUCUAAAGUUGUUUGAAAGGCAUAUAUGACAUGUAAUGAAUAAAUUUAGUUCCCAUUUUAUCCUUCUGUACUUUUGUAGAAAUAAACUAGGCCUCUUAACCGGAAACGGUUGGGGCGAGGAAAAACGUCCAUUUUUUAUGAGUCAAUAAAAAAUACCAUACCUUGUCCA